UCCUUCUAUUUUCUGGUCAAACCAUCGAGGCUGUGUAGGAGAGAGCGUCCUUUCAUAUCUCUCUCUCUCUCUCUCUCUCUCUCUCUCAUUCCAUCCCUGUCCUCCGUCCGCGUGUUUUGCUUUGUGUUACUCUGUCUGGACACAUAGCUGUUGAUAUUGUUCUGGUCUCUAUAAGAAGCUCUUUGUAUGUACACAUCUUUGCUUGUUGAUUUGGUCUUUGUUGACAUGGAAAGCUGCCUGUCUCUCGUUAAUAUCCAUUAGACUUCUCCUUUCCUCUCAUCCCCCCUCUCUCCCUCUCCCUGUAUAAGUGGACUUACUCUCUUCUCUGAGUCUGACUCAAUAUAUGUGCAUCUGUGCCUCUUGGCAUUCCUCUGACUGAAAGAGUAACAGAGUCCAUUUGCAAUAUACUAUUUUUGGUGCUUGGAAUUUGUGUAUUUUUUAUUUUUAAGUUUUGAAAUUGUUGUGAAUGUUUUGGGAUUUUGGAUUUCCAGAAGGAUUUUUAAAAUCUCCUUUGGAUAUAUAUAUAUAUUUUUUUUGUCCCUGUUUUUUUUUCUUUUGUGGAUUUUGGAGCCUUUUGCUGACAGUACUGGAAAAAUACUCUCGUUUUUUUCCCUUGCUAAGAGUCUCAGCCCUGAGCUUCUCCAUGGAGUGUCAACGUGAGACCCCCGUCAGAUCGUAUUCCUCACCUUGCUAAUGAGAGCAUGACUGCUCACUAAACAGGGAAAUUGUCUGAACAAACCAUUGUGUCCUGAGUUCUGAACAGGGCUGCACGGAACCCUCAGAGAAACCACCCCAGUUCCUGAGGUCCUCAUCCAGGCUGAAUAUCUUUGAAGAGAAACCGUAAAUUCAGCUACAUAAGCACUUUUCAUUUUUCUCAUUGCAUUUUUCUCUUUUCACUGUUGUUCUUUGAGCUGCUUAGAAGAUGAGAACUCAUGCAAAGCUGUUUGCAAUAAUGCUCACCAGUGAAGCACAGUGACUGGGAACGUUCUGAUAACGGCAUAAAAGGCACAAAACUGGCAUAAAAGGUUGGGAGCCAUGGAGGCAGUUCCUGGCUACUCCCCGUCUUUCUGGGUGAGGGUGUGUCAUGCCCUGCCUCGGCUGGACUUCAACUUGCAAACCCAGGACAACGUCUUCAGCCCCGACAGCUGGGAGUACCAGCAGACCCUGCUGGUUCUGUCGAGCCUGUCAGCCAUUGCCUUGCUUCUGUCCCUCCUGGUCGUGCUCUGCUUCCUGAUUCACUACUGCUGCUGUCACCGUGCCGAUGGGGGCUCUGGCUCCGAGGAGGACGAGGACGAAGACACCAGUGGGGGACGCGGAUAUGGUGGCAGGAAGCAGGCGGGCAUCUGCUGUGUCACUUGGGUCUCGGUGACAGCUGUCACUCUCUGUUGCGUUGCCAUCGGCAUUGGUUUCUAUGGCAACAGUGAAGCCAACGAUGGAAUGUAUCAACUGACCUCUUCGCUUCUCACAGCCAAUUAUACACUGGGCUCUAUAAAUCUGCUGGUGUCGGACACGAUCGUGGGGCUGCAGCUCUCUGUUUCUGGGCCCCUGACCACGCUGGAGGAGCUUUUCAGCACCAGCAUGCCGUUCCUGGUGUCCACUCGCACCUGUAGACGCCUGUCAGAGACAGUGGUGACCACCCUCUCCUCCCUGACGCUAGGCCCGCCUCCCAAGAUUCCCCCACUGAGAGGCAGAGGGAUUAAUGGCAGCAGUGUGCUCACCCCUCCCCCUCCCACCCUCAUGCCCCCCUCUCUUGCUCCCCCACCCACUAUCCUCGCCUCUCCUGUGUCUGGGCCUUUCUCUCCUGGCUGGGCAGCCAACACACUGAUGGUGAAUGAGGACUACAGGUGGCUGUCUUACGUGCUGCUGCUGCUGCUGGACCUGGUGGUGUGCCUCUUCAUCCUCCUGGGACUGGCAAAGCAGGCACGGUGGCUCCUGGUCCUGAUGACUGUGCUUGCUUGGCUGGCCCUCUUCCUUAGCUGGGGCUCCUUGGGGCUGGAAACGGCCACCGUGGUGGCUCUAAGUGACUUUUGCUCUGAUCCCAACACCUUUGUAGUCAACUCCUCUCAUUUUAAUUCGGGAACCAGCGCAGAAAUACUGGAUUACUACCUGAUGUGCAGCAAACAGAUGAGCAGUCCUUUCCAGCAGCUGCUGACCCAGUCCCAGAGGGCGCUGUCCAGCAUUCACACGCACCUCGCCAGCCUGGAACGAGAGGCCCUCUCACAGUUCCCUAAAGCAGAGAGGCCACUUAAGGAGGUCCAGCUGAUUCUCAAUGCGACGGAGAGUAACUUCCACCAACUCGUCGCUCUGCUGAACUGUCGAGGUCUUAACAAGGAUUACACGGACUCUCUGAAAGGCCUGUGUUUUGAUGGCAUAGAAGGGCUACUCUGUCUCUCGCUCUAUUCCUUCCUUUCUGCGCUGGCAUUCACCGCCAUCCUCUGCUCUUUGCCUGGGGCCUGGAGGACCUUCCCCAGUGAUUUAGAAGAGUAUGAAGACUCCGACAGUGAGAAUGAGGACCCCUUCACUUCUCAUCAGGCACGUAGACAGACGGCCAUGGGUCCCCAGCGUGGGGCCCUACCCACCUUCUAUACUUACCAGGGGGCCAGCUGGAUUCCCCCGUUUUCUAGUGCACCGCCCCUCCCUCUGUCUUUCAGUGUAAGACAGGCAUAGGUUGGCCUCUACGAGACAAAACUCAUAUUCAGAAGAACUAUGACCUUAUGUAGGACUCCAAACGCUUCCUGCAAUGGCAGCCCUGGCUAUGAGGCCAUGCCCCUGGUGGCCAGACGGCCCUCACCUCCCUCUGUGAGUUCCUCUGCUCUGGCAACGUUCCCACCAUGAUGGCUAUUAAUGCAAGCUCGUUUUCAGUGAUGCAUGUUUGUUGACUUUUAUACCUGUGGAUUUAUUGAAAUCUGAUGCAGAAACUUACUAUAAGACCCAGUGAUUUACUGAUCAAUUAACUAAUACCACUUUGUUUGAUUAUGGAAACAUACUAACUUUCAACAUAUAUGACAUUCAGGAAAUAACUGUUUUCUUUCUUCUCUGUCUUCCGAAUCCCUUCGUGAUCUUCUUAUGGAUCAAUGUUUCUGGCCGAACAGUAUUCUCUCCCAGCAUGUUAACUGGCUACAGGGACAGUGAAUCAAAGCCAAGUCCUGCCCACUCAAGAAAUUCGCAUUUACACUAAUUAAUUAAUGUUUGUAUAAGUAUACCAAAUGUUCAGUUUCAUAAAAAUGGAAACAUUACUGAUACAAAGAAGCUAAUCUCCAUACAUAAAGUUGGUAACAUUAUUACCGUUGAUAUGAGUUUUAAAUGAAUGGACCCCUUGAUUGGUAAGCCUUGUCCCUUUUUCUCCAGUAAAUGUCAGGGAUUUAAUAAGAGAACAGAGUCUGGGAACCAUGAGCCAGUCAAGUCAGUCUUCGUGAACUGUUUCAAGAUGGUGGUGGUGAUUUAUCUGAUCACAAGUUUGUGUUUUAUAUUGCAUUAGAAAUUACACGUUUUCAGUGUUACUGGUUUGCAGUUUCCUUACUUUUUGGAUCUUUUUUUCCCCCGAAGAUGCUAAACAACUUGCAGAUUCUUAACAUUGACCUUAUUAUUGUAACAAUAACGUGUGUGGGUGCUGCUCCCAGUAACUUCGGCUGAAGCAGGAUCAAAUUGUGUCAAUAGCAAUAAUGCAAAGAGAAGAGAGCGGUACAGUGUCUGUGUUUGUAGGAGCUCUCCUCCUGAUGGUCUGUAUAUAUAUAGCAUGCUGGAGAUUGUACCGAGUCCCUUUAUCAGCCUUGUCGAUCCUUAAACCAAGUUUGUAUGGUAUUAAUGCUCCUUUUGAAUGGCACUGUUUUUCAUUCCAGAUUCUACUACAGAUAAAUUAAUAAUAAAAUCUUGUCUUGGCAAGUAUAGAGAA